AGUGAACGCUGGCGGUAGGCCUAACACAUGCAAGUCGAACGGCAGCACAGUAUGAGCUUGCUCUUACGGGCGGAGAGUGGCGGACGGGUGAGGAAUACACCGGAAUCUACUUUUUCGUGGGGGAUAACGUAGGGAAAUUUACGCUAAUACCGCAUACGACCUACGGGUGAAAGCAGGGGAUCUUCGGACCUUGCGCGACUGAAUGAGCCGAUGUCGGAUUAGCUAGUUGGCGGGGUAAAGGCCCACCAAGGCGACGAUCCGUAGCUGGUCUGAGAGGAUGAUCAGCCACACUGGAACUGAGACACGGUCCAGACUCCUACGGGAGGCAGCAGUGGGGAAUAUUGGACAAUGGGCGCAAGCCUGAUCCAGCCAUGCCGCGUGGAUGAAGAAGGCCUUCGGGUUGUAAAGCCCUUUUGUUGGGAAAGAAAAGCAGCAGGUUAAUACCCCGCUGUUCUGACGGUACCCAAAGAAUAAGCACCGGCUAACUUCGUG
rnacentral:rRNA from 1 species